rnacentral:rRNA from 1 species
GAUGAACGCUGGCGGCGUGCUUAACACAUGCAAGUCGAACGGUGAAAGAGAGCUUGCUCUCUGGAUCAGUGGCGAACGGGUGAGUAACACGUGAGCAAUCUGCCCCUGACUCUGGGAUAAGCGCUGGAAACGGCGUCUAAUACCGGAUACGAGCUGCGAAGGCAUCUUCAGCAGCUGGAAAGAACUUCGGUCAGGGAUGAGCUCGCGGCCUAUCAGCUAGUUGGUGAGGUAACGGCUCACCAAGGCGUCGACGGGUAGCCGGCCUGAGAGGGUGGCCGGCCACACUGGGACUGAGACACGGCCCAGACUCCUACGGGAGGCAGCAGUGGGGAAUAUUGCACAAUGGGCGAAAGCCUGAUGCAGCAACGCCGCGUGAGGGACGACGGCCUUCGGGUUGUAAACCUCUUUUAGCAGGGAAGAAGCGAAAGUGACGGUACCUGCAGAAAAAGCGCCGGCUAACUACGUG